UCUCCUCCAUCUCUGCAGCCUUUCUCCUCGCCUCUGCCCUUAGCUGCCUUUCUCCUCCAUCUCCGCCCUUGCCUCCGCCCCCGAGCUGCCCUAGCCCGCCACAACAUGGUUUGCAGCUUCCCAUCGGGCGUCCUCGAGCACAGGCCGUCUUCCAGCGGCUCCUACGCAGCGUCGUUCAGCAAGGCAGGGUGACCAUUGCAUUCCAGGUUUGUGGCAUCAAAGCUAGCAACUGACAUAAUUGUAGUUGUCGAAGAAGUGAAAUUUCAUUUGCACAAGUGAUCAAACGUGCAAUCGGUGCAUCCUCUGUCAGGCCUUUGAUGAGAUUAGCAGCUUCAUGUUUUAACAUUGAAUGAAUGUCGCCGGCAUCCUUUCCCCCCAGAAUUUGGCGUCAAGGAAUCAUGCGUUCCUACUAAUUUUGAAUGGUAGAUAAACAACAGCUCUUGGCCACACAGAUCAUCUGAGUUUGACAAAUCUCUACAUUUCAAAUACUACGUGAGUCUGUGAUUGUAGCUGCUACAGAAGAAUGCGUAACCUAUAGCCUAUACGCAAUGCCCAAGAGCAAGAGAAAGAGCGAAAGAGGAAACAGACAACCUUGGUUGCUUACCAUUUGUCGUCAUGAAGGUGGAGCAUUUUCUUUGGUGCUUUAUUGAAGAACAGAAGAGCAAGGAGAAAAAAAAAGAAGGAAAUUGUAAUGUUGCGUACUAUUGUCUCUAUGUGUCUCAAUCACA